CCUACGGGUGGCAGCAGUCGAGAAUCAUUCACAAUGGGGGAAACCCUGAUGGUGCGACGCCGCGUGGGGGAAUGAAGGUCUUCGGAUUGUAAACCCCUGUCAUGUGGGAGCAAAUUAAAAAGAUAGUACCACAAGAGGAAGAGACGGCUAACUCUGUGCCAGCAGCCGCGGUAAUACAGAGGUCUCAAGCGUUGUUCGGAAUCACUGGGCGUAAAGCGUGCGUAGGCUGUUGCGUAAGUCGUGUGUGAAAGGCGCGGGCUCAACCCGCGGACGGCACAUGAUACUGCGAGACGAGAGGAAUGGAGGGGGAACCGGAAUUCUCGGUGUAGCAGUGAAAUGCGUAGAUAUCGAGAGGAACACUCGUGGCGAAGGCGGGUUCCUGGACAUUAACUGACGCUGAGGCACGAAGGCCAGGGGAGCGAAAGGGAUUAGAUACCCCGGUAGUC
rnacentral:rRNA from 1 species